UACGAAGGGUGCAAGCGUUACUCGGAAUUACUGGGCGUAAAGCGUGCGUAGGCGGUUUGUUAAGUCCGUUGUGAAAUCCCCGGGCUUAACCUGGGAACUGGCGCUUGUAACUGGCAAGCUGGAGUGUGGCAGAGGGGGGUGGAAUUCCACGUGGUAGCAGUGAAAUGCGUAGAGAUGUGGAGGAACACCGAUGGCGAAGGCAGCCCCCUGGGCUAACACUGACGCUCAUGCACGAAAGCGUGGGGAGCAAACAGG
rnacentral:rRNA from 1 species